rnacentral:rRNA from 1 species
CAGCCGCCGCGGUAAUACGGAGGGGGCUAGCGUUGUUCGGAAUUACUGGGCGUAAAGCGCACGUAGGCGGCUUGGUAAGUUAGAGGUGAAUGCCUGGAGCUCAACUCCAGAAUUGCCUUUAAGACUGCCGAGCUAGCAGGUGAGAGAGGUAAGUGGAAUUCCGAGUGUAGAGGUGAAAUUCGUAGAUAUUCGGAAGAACACCAGUGGCGAAGGCGGCUUACUGGCUCAUACUGGACGCUGAGGUGCGAAAGCGUGGGGAGCAAACAGGAUUAGAUACCCGAGUAGUCCCUGUCUCUUAUAC